rnacentral:rRNA from 1 species
UACAAGCUCAAAAAUCUAAGCUUUUGGGCUUAUUAAGAUAUAUGUUAGAGAAAUUAAAAUUAAUUUUAUUAAUAUAAUAAUAUAUAAAUUAAUAACUAAUUAAUCUACUAUCGCUUUUAAAUCUUUAAGUUUAUUUAUUUAAGUUAACUAUUAGCUUAUAUUAAUAAUGUCUAAAUGAGUGUAGAAAAAUAAAACAAAAAAAGGAACUCGGCAAAAAUUUUCUUCAACUGUUUAUCAAAAACAUAGCUAGUAGGUGGUAUUUAUUAUUAGUUAGCUCUGCCCGGUGAUGUAAAAUUUAACGGCCGCAGUACACUGACUGUGCAAAGGUAGCAUAAUCAAUUGGCUAUUAAUUGUAGUCGAGUAUGAAGGAGUCCAUGGGGAAAAGCUGUCUCUUUUUUUAUUUCUAGAACUUACUAAGCAAGUGCAAAAACUUGCGUUUUAUUAUAAUAGACGAGAAGACCCUAUAAAUUUUUACUAAUAUUAGAAGAUUUCUUGAUCGUUUUUGUUGGGGCAACAAUGUAACACAAUAAAGUAAUUUACAAUGAAAGUAUGAUUUAAUAAAACGAGUUUUACUAAGAACAACUAAAUUACUAUAGGGAUAACAGCAUAAUUUUAAUAUUAAGAUUGUGACCUCGAUGUUGGAUUAGGAGCUUAACAAAUUAACAGUUUGAUUAAGGGGUUCUGUUCGAACUAUUACACCUACAUGAUCUGAGUUCAGACCGG